GUAGCGUAGCUCCUACUUCAACCAACACAUUCGGGACUACAGCCAAUCGAGGUUUUCAAUUUGGUAAUUCAAACACCUCUACAUCUAAUAACCCAUCUACAUUUGCUUUUAAUGCUGCUUCUUAACCUGCAAAACCUGAAGGAGCUUUUAGUUUUGGCUCGACCACUGCUGCAGCACAACCAUUCCAGUUUGGACAAGCACCAGGUUUGUCAUCACCUCAGCAAUUCAGCGGAGGACAACCUCGAGGAGCCUUUGGUUUUAGUUCGCCUCCACAGCAACAGCCAGGAAUGCAAGGAUCAAAUCAGGCAUUAUUUAGUAUUGGAACAGAACCAGCUGGGGAACGACGAAAAGCCAAAGCUGUCAGAAGAAGACAAUGAUGAC